GGGAAUAUUGGACAAUGGGCGCAAGCCUGAUCCAGCCAUGCCGCGUGAGUGAUGAAGGCCUUAGGGUUGUAAAGCUCUUUUAUCCGGGACGAUAAUGACGGUACCGGAGGAAUAAGCCCCGGCUAACUUCGUGCCAGCAGCCGCGGUAAUACGAAGGGGGCUAGCGUUGCUCGGAAUCACUGGGCGUAAAGGGCGCGUAGGCGGCGUUUUAAGUCGGGGGUGAAAGCCUGUGGCUCAACCACAGAAUGGCCUUCGAUACUGGGACGCUUGAGUAUGGUAGAGGUUGGUGGAACUGCGAGUGUAGAGGUGAAAUUCGUAGAUAUUCGCAAGAACACCGGUGGCGAAGGCGGCCAACUGGACCAUCACUGACGCUGAGGCGCGAAAGCGUGGGGAGCAAAC
rnacentral:rRNA from 1 species